UACGUAGGGUGCAAGCGUUAAUCGGAAUUACUGGGCGUAAAGCGUGCGCAGGCGGUUCUAUAAGUCCGAUGUGAAAUCCCCGGGCUCAACCUGGGAACUGCAUUUGUGACUGCAUGGCUAGAGUUUGGCAGAGGGGGGUAGAAUUCCACGUGUAGCAGUGAAAUGCGUAGAUAUGUGGAGGAACACCGAUGGCGAAGGCAGCCCCCUGGGUCAAGACUGACGCUCAUGCACGAAAGCGUGGGGAGCAAACAGG
rnacentral:rRNA from 1 species